rnacentral:lncRNA from 1 species
AGAGAACAGCAAGUGACAAGACUGAGGCAGGCAGAGUGGCCGAGCGGGGUAGAGGGGCUGGAGACAGCAGUCAUGUGGAUGUUUUGGCACACAGGGGUCUGAAGGAGCCUGAUUGUUGAAGCAAAACUUCCCGUUUACCUACUGAUUGGAGGGUUUUUGAGCAUCUGGAAGCCAGAACAAAAAUGACCAUCCAUCCUCCCGCUGACCUUCCAGAUGACUGCAGGUGCAUGAGCACGCCCAGCAGGGAUCAGCUGAGCAAAAUCACCUCGCCGAAUCAUAGAAGGAGGGAAAGCUGCUGAGAAAACAUGGAAACACAGAAAGAGGAAAGUAAAAAGUACCCAGGGAGCCUCUGAGUUUGUGUGUGCACGUGGGUGAGGUCGCCAAAGGGGAGCAAACCUCCUACUUCCUGCAGCUCAGAUUACUUAUCAAUCAGAGAGCCUCCUAUUCCCCUUCCUGGUAAAUGAAGAAUACAAGGAGUGAGUCCCAGAAUUGGGCACGGAACCUCUGCAACUGCACAAUGCGAAAUAUACCUGGUCAGCACAAUCAGUACAGAAAGAAAUAUUCUGCUUAACUAAAUACUCUGGCUAAUGGAAGAUGACAUGACUAUCAAACUGGGAUGUAAAAAAUAAUAACCUAAAGAGAUAUGGUCUAUAUUCAUUUUCUAUUUCUGCUAUAAAAAUUACCACAAAUUUAGUGGCUUAAAACAACACAAAUGGAUUAUCCCGCGAUUCUUCAGGCCAGAAGUUCACAUGAGCUCAAUGGAUUCCUCUGCCCUUGGUCCCAGAGGUUGACGUCAAAGUAUCAGCUGGCCCAGGCUCUCAUCUGAAGGCUCUGAGGGAGAAUUUGCCACCAAACUGAUGCAGGUUGCUGGCAGAAUCAUGUUCUGAAUUCUUGUUUCCUCGCUGGCUGAGUUGUCGUCUUCUCACUGGCUGGGAGAUGUGGCCUCUGUCAGCAAUGUAAGGCCACCUACACUACCCAUCAUGCUGCAACCUCCGUCCUCAAACCAGCAACAGUGCAUCCCAUCCCCCUCACACCUCUAAUCUCUCUGACUUCCGCUUCUGCUGCAUCUCUCCUGAACUCAGUCACAGAACAUUCUCUGUGUUUAAUAGCUGUUAAACACAGCUGUUUAUUAGAUUGGUCCACCUCAAAAUUGAUUAGAUUGGGUCCACCUCAAAAAUCCAGGAUAAACUUCUGAUUUUAUGGUCGGUUACCUUAAUCACAUCUGCAAAAUCCCUUUGGUGUGUCAUAUAAUAUAUCCAUAGGUCCCAAGGAUUAGGACAUGGACAUCUCUGGAGGGCCACUGAGCCAUCACAAGGUUCUAGUAGGAAUCUGGGGUCACCAUUCCGAAUUUCAAUGGGGGUAAUAAUAAUACCUACUUAGAGGACGAUUAUGAGAAUUAAGUAAGUUAAUGUUUGUAAAGUGCUUAGAACAAUGUCUAGAAAGUACUAUAUAAGUGCUUGUUGAAUGGACACAUGGAUGGAUGAGAGAAUGAAAUAAAUGCUUGAAUAAAUGAAGUUCUGAAUUUACUUUAAAGAUUAGAAGUAUAGGUGGCUAAGCUGAAUCUUUUGUCAUCUAACAGCAAAAAUGGGACAUAUUAAGUAGCUUACAGAACUAAUUUACUUUAAGGCCCAGUUAGUCAAUACAUCUCUGCUCUGGCAUGGGCUUUGGGAUAGAUAAUCCCACAUGUCACAUCAUACACUGUGGGUUGUUUUAGAGCAUUUAUGGACCUUGCCUUGGUAUCCGUAGAAAUACUGAUUUCCUGGAAGUUGAGAAGUAGAUACAGGCUUUUGUCUACACUUGAUGGAAACUCUUAACUUCCACAUUCCCAUAACUUUCCACAGUUCCUUUGCUGUACUCAGGACAGAGAUAAUGAACAAAGAGACCAUAAAUACCAGGCUAUUUUCUAGUUUCAGAUUGCUUUCAUAUCCUGAAGAAGCAGCAUGAUAAAGUGAAUUUGAAUCUUGCCUCCGCUAUUUACUGGCUAUUUGUUUUUGGAAAACUUCCACAUCCUAGAUGCAAAAUGGAGUUAGUAAUAGCUGCUGUUAGAACUAUAACCAAUGUAAUCUAGGUACCUAGUGGUGCCUGGCACAUGAAAUAGGCACUCAGAGAAUGGCUACUAUUAUCAUAACAUUAUUUCUAGGCAUGCCAGAUAAAAUAUAUGAUGUCAGUUAAAUUUGAAUUCUAAAGAAACAAUAAAUACUGUUUUGUACGUCCCAAAUAUUGGGUGGAAUAUAAUUUACACUGUUUUUAUUUGCUAAAUCUUGCAACUCUAAUUAUUUCAUUUGACCCUUAUGACACCAUGGAAAUACAUAUUGUUCCCACUAUACAGGAGAGGAAACUGGAGCUCAGAAAAGUGUUACAAAGUGAUCACAAAUACAUUGAGUGAUAGAACCUGUUUUGUUUUUGUUUUUAACCAAGAUCUUGCCCUCCCCUCUAAAGGAGACUCUGUUGCUUUUCUCUCUUUAUCUUCAUCCCACCUCCAAGGUGCUUAACACAGCCACCUAAACAUAGGUGCUCCAUACAUAGACUGUUGACAUGAACAGACAAAGGAGUAGCAUGGAACUGUUGUGCUACAACAGACCCUCCCUCACUCCAGACAGGAGUGCUGCAGCCUCUCCCAGCAGGAGAACUGACUUGAAACAAACGGAAUGAGAUGAGGUGAAUGCAAAAGAAAGAUGAACGUUCAUUCUACUCUUAGUUCAUACUGAUAAAGCGUUAUCUUUCAGGCAAUAUUUAUUAAGAGUCUGCUGUGUGUACCCAGAAAUGAGCUUGCUCCCUGUAGGUGUGAAGUGGGUGGACACGGAGAUAUCUCAGGUAGAUCAUUAAGAUCCUCAAGGUCAGGAGCCAGGACAUUUUCUUGUGUUUUGCAUUGUGGCCACAUAUCCCCAGCUCCCACCUGCAUUAUUUUAACUGCAUCUUGUUCCUUGUAUCUUAUUAGUGUCCUCGCCAAAGAAUGAAUAGAGGAUCUAAAGUUUGAAAUAAGUAUUGACUACUAACAAGUCAUUCCAGUUGAGGUUUAGGUUGUCUGCGAGAUUUCACUAAGCCAGGCCAGAGUUAUAAUAGCCAUCAAAGAUUUGGCCUUAUCAAUAAUGAUAUCAAGAAAGAGGUGGAAGAAUUUUAAACUCAGCUUUGAGUUACUCUCUUUUGGAGGCAAGCCAAUUUAAAAGAAGUCACCGUAAACCUAGAGUUCAGGGAUGAAUCUCUGAGAUCCUAUUGUAGGCAAACUCCAGGAGAAGUGUGAUUUCCACAAAGUAUCCUGUCUCAGGUCCUUUUUCAGUCUCUUUGGAAUAACUCAGAUUUCUUAUUUCUGCAAUCACACACAAAAAAAUUGUUUCCUAUAGUUAAGUACAUACUCAGAAAGAAGAACACACUAGUGCUGAGGCCUUCUGUAAGGUGUUAACUCACGUGGCUACAACAGGUACCCUUCCGUAAAGAGAAAGGAGGCCUUCAAUUACCAUUGCACCCAGAAGGCUUUCCCUUCUCUUUCUACUAUGCAUUUUGCAGACUUUUUCACAACUA